rnacentral:rRNA from 1 species
GACGAACGCUGGCGGCGUGCUUAACACAUGCAAGUCGAACGGAAAGGCCCUGCUUUUGUGGGGUGCUCGAGUGGCGAACGGGUGAGUAACACGUGAGUAACCUGCCCUUGACUUUGGGAUAACUUCAGGAAACUGGGGCUAAUACCGGAUAGGAGCUCCUGCUGCAUGGUGGGGGUUGGAAAGUUUCGGCGGUUGGGGAUGGACUCGCGGCUUAUCAGCUUGUUGGUGGGGUAGUGGCUUACCAAGGCUUUGACGGGUAGCCGGCCUGAGAGGGUGACCGGCCACAUUGGGACUGAGAUACGGCCCAGACGCCUACGGGAGGCAGCAGUGGGGAAUAUUGCACAAUGGGCGGAAGCCUGAUGCAGCAACGCCGCGUGCGGGAUGACGGCUUUCGGGUUGUAAACCGCUUUCGCCUGUGACGAAGCGUGAGUGACGGUAAUGGGUAAAGAAGCACCGGCUAACUACGUG